AUUUAAAGGCCGCAGUAUUUUGACUGUGCAAAGGUAGCAUAAUAAUUAGAUUUUUAAUUGAAAUCUUGGAUGAAUGAUUUUAUGAGAUAAAAUCUUUUUUAUUUAAAAAUUUGAAUUUUAUUUUUUAGUUAAAAAGCUAAAAUUUUUAAAAGGGACGAGAAGACCCUAUAGAAUUUUAUAAUUUUAUUAUAUUAAUUUUAUAUUAUUUAAAUUAAUAUUUUGAAAAUUAUUUUAUUGGGGCGAUAAUUAAAAUUAAUUAACUUUAAUAAAUUUAUUCAUAAAUAAAUGUAAUUAUGAUCUUUUUUUAUUGAUUAAAAAAUUAAAUUACCUUAGGGAUAACAGCAUAAUAAAAUUAAGGAGUUCUUAUUUUUAAUUUUGUUUAUGACCUCGAUGUUGGAUUAAAUAAAAUUUUAAUAUGUAGAAAUAUUAAAAAUAAGUCUGUUCGACUUUUAAUAAUUUACAUGAUCUGAGUUCAAACCGGUGUAAGCCAGGUCGGUUUCUAUCU
rnacentral:rRNA from 1 species